CCUACGGGAGGCAGCAGUGAGGAAUAUUGGUCAAUGGACGGAAGUCUGAACCAGCCAUGCCGCGUGCAGGAAGACGGCUCUAUGAGUUGUAAACUGCUUUUGUACAAGGGUAAACCUGAAUACGUGUAUUCAGCUGGAAGUACUGUACGAAUAAGGAUCGGCUAACUCCGUGCCAGCAGCCGCGGUAAUACGGAGGAUCCAAGCGUUAUCCGGAUUUAUUGGGUUUAAAGGGUGCGUAGGCGGAUUGAUAAGUUAGAGGUGAAAUGUCCGAGCUUAACUCGGGAACUGCCUCUAAUACUGUUGAUCGAGAGAGUAGAUGCGGUAGGCGGAAUGUAUGGUGUAGCGGUGAAAUGCUUAGAGAUCAUACAGAACACCGAGUGCGAAGGCAGCUUACCAAUCUAUAUCUGACGUUGAGGCACGAAAGCGUGGGGAGCAAACAGGAUUAGAUACCCCUGUAGUC
rnacentral:rRNA from 1 species